UGAGUAACACGUAUGCAACCUACCUUUAACAGGGAAUAACCCGUUGAAAAACGGACUAAUACUCCAUAACACAGGGGUCCCGCAUGGGAAUAUUUGUUAAAGAUUAAUCGGUUGAAGAUGGGCAUGCGUUCCAUUAGCUUGUUGGUGAGGUAACGGCUCACCAAGGCCACGAUGGAUAGGGGAACUGAGAGGUUUAUCCCCCACACUGGAACUGAGACACGGUCCAGACUCCUACGGGAGGCAGCAGUGAGGAAUAUUGGUCAAUGGAGGCAACUCUGAACCAGCCAAGUCGCGUGAAGGAUGAAGGUCUUAUGGAUUGUAAACUUCUUUUGCAAGGGAAUAAAGUGGGGGACGUGUCCCUCCUUUCCGCGAUGUACCCUUUGCGAAUAAGGAUCGGCUAACUCCGUGCCAGCCGCGGC
rnacentral:rRNA from 1 species